rnacentral:rRNA from 1 species
UGAGGCGUGAUGACGAGGAACCACGGUUCCGAAGUGAUUGAUACCAAGCUUCCAGGAAAAGCCACUAAGCUUCAGUCUAGAGUUGACCGUACCGCAAACCGACACAGGUGGGCAGGAUGAAAAUUCUAAGGCGCUUGAGAGAACUCAGGAGAAGGAACUCGGCAAAUUAACACCGUAACUUCGGGAGAAGGUGUGCCCCGGUAGCGUGUAGAGACUUGCUCUCGAAGCGCGAUGGGGUUGCAGUGAAAUGGUGGCUGCGACUGUUUAAUAAAAACACAGCACUCUGCAAACACGAAAGUGGACGUAUAGGGUGUGACGCCUGCCCGGUGCCGGAAGGUUAAGUGAUGGGGUGCAAGCUCUUGAUCGAAGCCCCGGUAAACGGCGGCCGUAACAAUAACGGUCCUAAGGUAGCGAAAUUCCUUGUCGGGUAAGUUCCGACCUGCACGAAUGGCGUAACGAUGGCCACACUGUCUCCUCCUGGGACUCAGCGAAGUUGAAAUGUUUGUGAAGAUGCAAUCUACCCGCGGCUAGACGGAAAGACCCCAUGAACCUUUACUGUAGCUUUGCAUUGGACUUUGAACCGGUUUGUGUAGGAUAGGUGGGAGACUGUGAAGCCGGGACGCUAGUUUCGGUGGAGUCAACCUUGAAAUACCACCCUGAUUUGUUUGAGGUUCUAACCUUGGUCCGUGAAUCCGGAUCGGGGACCGUGCAUGGUAGGCAGUUUGACUGGGGCGGUCUCCUCCCAAAAGGUAACGGAGGAGUACGAAGGUACGCUUAGGGCGGUCGGACAUCGCCCACAAAGUGCAAUGGCAAAAGCGUGCUUGACUGCGAGACCCACAAGUCGAGCAGGUACGAAAGUAGGUCAUAGUGAUCCGGUGGUUCUGUAUGGAAGGGCCAUCGCUCAACGGAUAAAAGGUACUCUGGGGAUAACAGGCUAAUUCCUCCCAAGAGUUCAUAUCGACGGGGGAGUUUGGCACCUCGAUGUCGGCUCAUCACAUCCUGGGGCUGUAGUCGGUCCCAAGGGUAUGGCUGUUCGCCAUUUAAAGUGGUACGCGAGCUGGGUUUAAAACGUCGUGAGACAGUUUGGUCCCUAUCUGCCGUGGGCGCUGGAAAUUUGAAGGGGGCUGCUCCUAGUACGAGAGGACCGGAGUGGACGAACCUCUGGUGUACCGGUUAUGACGCCAGUCGUAUCGCCGGGUAGCUAAGUUCGGAAGAGAUAAACGCUGAAAGCAUCUAAGCGUGAAACUCGCCUUAAGAUAAGAUUUCCCGGAGUCUUGAACUCCCUGAAGGGUCGUCGAAGACCACGACGUUGAUAGGUCAGGUGUGGAAGCGCAGCAAUGCGUUAAGCUAACUGAUACUAAUUGCCCGUGCGGCUUGAUC